rnacentral:misc_RNA from 1 species
AAGUCGUAACAAGGUUUCCGUAGGUGAACCUGCGGAAGGAUCAUUAACACGUAUCCAAACGUUAAACCCCCCUGUGAACCUUCAGUCGUACUCGUACGUCCGUUAGAAAAAGCAGCAAUCCCUGGUAAAUCAUCGCCGAACAGUUUUCGAUUCAGGGACGUCUGCAAGGAGCGUGCAUGUUGUGCGUGUAAGUGGCCUGGCAUCCCCAAGCAGUUAGUGUCUGAAAGUGUCACUAACGUUAGCGAUCGUUGGAGGCCCACACGGCCGACGACCGGGUCACUGGGUGCAAGCCCCCUUAUCACACCCCUGCUCUAUCUAUGGUGAUCCUGCGGGAAGUCCUGCGGUCGAACGCCGAAACCGAACAACUGUUAACAAUGGAUAUCUUGGUUCUC